rfam:Triticum aestivum genome assembly, contig: Triticum_aestivum_CS42_TGACv1_scaffold_472830_6AL
UCUAUACUCCCUCCAUUCCAAAUUACUUGUCGGAAAAACGGAUGUAUCUAGAACUAAAAUACAUCUAGAUACAUCCAUACCUGCGACAAGUAAUUCAGAACGGAGGGAGUAUUAA